AACGAACGCUGGCGGCAUGCCUAACACAUGCAAGUCGAACGAGACCUUCGGGUCUAGUGGCGCACGGGUGCGUAACGCGUGGGAACCUGCCCUUAGGUUCGGAAUAACUCCCCGAAAGGGGUGCUAAUCCCGGAUAAUGUCUUCGGACCAAAGAUUUAUCGCCUUUGGAUGGGCCCGCGUUGGAUUAGCUAGUUGGUAGGGUAAAAGCCUACCAAGGCGACGAUCCAUAGCUGGUCUGAGAGGAUGAUCAGCCACACUGGUACUGAGGCACGGCCCAGACUCCUACGGGAGGCAGCAGUGGGGAAUAUUGGACAAUGGGCGAAAGCCUGAUCCAGCAAUGCCGCGUGAGUGAUGAAGGCCUUAGGGUUGUAAAGCUCUUUUACCCGGGAUGAUAAUGACAGUACCGUGAGAAUAAGCUCCGGCUAACCCCGUG
rnacentral:rRNA from 1 species